CCUCGGCUUGGAGUUCCGCGGGCCGGCCGGGGCACGACUGCGCUCCCGUCCGGGCCGCGCAGGGGCCAGGGGGAGACACACUGCUCCUCCAGAUGAGACUGACGCUGCAAGCCUCACUUCCUGUUUCCGCUGCCCUUGGAGCCCUCGCCCCACGCGCCCCAAAUGCCUCCCCCUCGCUCGGUUCUCUCUGGCCGAGGAGCCAGCCGAGCAGGUGAAGCCCUCGUGGCCCUCCUCGCUCCGCAGACUGGGCGGCCGCCCGCCGGCCCGAGGGCACCCUACGCCACCCUUGGGGGUUCUUGUGUGUUCCCCUCGUCCCUGGGACCCUCAAUACUGCAGAUGCCGAUAGGCAUUCUCCACCCCCCGCAAGUACUGCAGACCUGGUGACCUGGCUGGUCACCCCCGGAGCCCCCUGGCCUGCAGAAGUAAACACCCACUUCUACCCUUGUAGGGGCUCUUUCUGCACCCGCCUCCCCGGCACCGGAGACCCUGACUCCCCUCCUCUGGGAAGCCAAGUGGCAGGGCUGUGACGGCCCUGGGAGGCUGGGGCAGGAGGCGGGUGGGCGUUGCCCCUGGAACUUCAAAGGAGACAAGCAGGGCCUGAAGCAUCUCCCCUCACUCUCCUUCUCCCAGCCCUGCGCGACCUGGCAGCCUCUUCUGCCUCUUGCUUCACUUUGGAACAGCCUGCCGCCUCCCUGGUCGCUCUGUCUGCGCUCUCGGCUCCGCGUGGCCACGGUCGCCCGGCCCUCCCCUUCUCCGCGCUCGCGCACUGCCCCGCCCGCCGCCCGCCUGCUCUCCCGCCCACCCUCCGCAACCGCGAACUCCCGCGCAGGGCACUUUGUGUAGGUCACGCCCUGUGGGAGACAUACAAGAACCCGUUGCCCUGGGUAAGUCCUCUCUACCUAGCCACCAAGAAAAGAUAACUACUCCUGCCUGCAAAAUGGAGAGAAUGCCAGGUUGCCAUGAGGAUUUAACGAGAUACUACCAGUGAAGCAACAUGCCUGACAGGGCAGUGGUUCCCCCAGUGUGGAUGGGGACUAGCAGCAUGAUCUCCUGGGAAGAUUUUGUUAGAAAUGCACAUUGCUGCCCCCCAUCUGCUGUAUGAAAACUGGGGAAGGGGCAGCAGUUGUGUUUCCACAAGCCUCCGUGUGAUUCUCCUGUGCACUGAGGCUGAGAGCACUGCUGCAAGCAGCUCAGUGACACCUCAUCUCCUUUCCUUACGGCCUGAAUGAAAGGUGGCCCAAGCAGGAGGGUGGCUGUGGGCCGGUGGGGUGGUUAAGAGGUGGGACUGAGCUGGAGAAGGAAAGAGAGGAGCCUUGGGGGGGCAGUUAGGGGAGAUGUAGGAGGAGCCUCUCUCCCCCUUACCCUACCCACCACUCACCCACCCACCCCUGCCACUUUACCCCAAACCAGAGCAGAUCAUGAGUCUGAAUGCAGUAGCCGAGCUCUGGAGCCCUUUCCCUGCCCCAGAUGUGGGAAGUGCUUCAGCUAAGGGGCCCACCUGACCCUGUACCUACACUUCCACACAGACCCUACUCCUUCAGUGAGUGUGGCCACCGCUAUCAGCGCAUGCCUGGCCCAGCACUGCUGAGCCCCGGCACUGCAGCCCGUGCGCCAAGGCUUCUCCCAGAGCUCUAGGCAGCUGCAGCAUGCCCCGUACACACGGGCCAUCCAUCGGCCACCCCGUGUCUGCGCCGCCUGUGGGUGGGGGCUGGGGUGCCACCCUAGCCUCCAUGGGGGAGAUGCCCUGCCUGUCAGUGAGACUUGCUGUGGCUUCAGCCAGCACUCCUGGUUCAUGGUCCACCAGUGGGUCCACCACUUGGUUCCCCUGCUAGUCCACAGCUGCUAGGACUCUGGUCUGCUCUUCCCCCAGGCUCUGGCAGUGGCCCACCUCUGUGUAGCCCAGCACACAGCGAGAAGCCUUUCCCCUGCCCCAGCGUGCCGAGGGCACUGGCUGCCACUCCAGCCUGCAGCACCAGCGUUAGGACUACCGUGGGGACUGGCUCCACCACUGCAAGGGCUUCGGGGAGAGCGCAGGGCUGGUGCAGCGCCAGCAAGUCCAUAGGGUGAGACCGCAGGCAGCUUUAUGACUCCAACCUGGUGCGGCAACAGCAGGGCCACACCACGGACAGGCCCUGCUGCUCUGGCCUCCGUGGCUGUGACUUCACUCACAUUACCCAUCUGCCAUGACACCAGGCCUCUUGGAGUGGGGAGAGUGGAGUUAGAGCCCCUGUGGCAGCACCCCUACAACCCUGAAGCACUGGAGGAGGGCAGAAGGGCAGCCCUGGUGACAGACUCCUCCACCUCCCACCCCACCCCCAGCCAGAGGGACUUUCAGGGCAACCACAUGGGGUGGCCAGAGUGUCUCACCCGGACCUACUUAAAGCUGGAAUGGCCAGGUCCAUCUCACUCUAGGCCAAAGUGCUGAUCUCUGAGGGAGCUCCCAGCCCUGGAAAAGACUUUUCUUAGAAAAGAAUCUGUGUGUGUGUGUUGUUGUUGUUUGUUUAAAUAAAUAAAAGGUCCCUGCGCA